UGCCAGAUCUAUUUCAACGACCUCAAUAUAAAAAACAAUCUUAAAUUCUUUCUCUCCAAAUUGUUGUCCCAUUGAAAUGCAAUUUUCAACAAUAUAGGGUUCAAUGUAAUUAGCUAAAUCCUUGCUAAUGGGUAAAUUGGCCAACCUUUGAGAUAAAAUGAAAGAUAAAAUAGAGAGAUAGAAAAGAGGAAUCUUGAAACUGUAUUUAUAGAUAGGAGAUACAAUAAAAUCACUUUCGGUUGGUAUAGGUUGAAGUCCAGCCAAUUAGGCUGAACAAAAAGCUUAUAGAAUCCUUGUACAUGAAGUUCUAUUGUUAUUGCUUUUUCAUCAGAACUAUUUGCAGACACUUUAGUAGUUUCUGCACUAAUUGUGUGGUUAUAGAUUUUGCUAGGAAUU
rnacentral:lncRNA from 1 species